CUCAGCAAAAGCAUCAGGACAGAUCUUCACCAUCACUGACUUCAGAGCUGAACACAGUGGGAAUUAUUACUGUGAAGCCCAGAACAGCAGAGGACGCCAUAACUCCACUUUACAUCUGACUGUUGCAGCAGGUUCGAUGAAAUCAGUCGCUGCAGGAUCACUCACUGCUAUUUUUCUGGUGCUCAUAUUCCUCGCUGUCUUCCUACUGAUCAGACGAAAGCGGUCUCAACAAACCACCAAUCAGAGAGAGAGACCAGACAAUAAAGCUCAGGU